GGGUUGAAAUAUGCAUGUUUUCUAUGUUUUUAAAUAAUUUCAAUUGGAAUGGAAAAUAAAUGGUGUUGUUUUUUUUUUUUUUUUCUUUCAUGUGUGAAAGGUGAGGUUAAUUAUGAGUCUUAUUGCUCAUAAUGUACGACUCACAAUAAUAAGAGUGUUAAUGUGCUAUGUGUAUUUUGCAUAAUUGAUCUUCAAUUUAUGCAAUACUAUUUCUAAUGAAGAAAUUUCAAGUUUCUACUA